GGGACUAUAGUUAAUGAUAACAUUUGAGUUGCAUUCAAAAAGUACUGCCCAUGGUAGUUAGCCUCA
rnacentral:tRNA from 1 species